rnacentral:rRNA from 1 species
GACGAACGCUGGCGGCGUGCUUAACACAUGCAAGUCGAACGGAAGGGCCCCCUUGUGGGGUACUCGAGUGGCGAACGGGUGAGUAACACGUGAGUAACCUACCCUUGACUUUGGGAUAACUUCAGGAAACUGGGGCUAAUACCGGAUAGGAGCUCCUGCUGCAUGGUGGGGGUUGGAAAGUUUCGGCGGUUGGGGAUGGACUCGCGGCUUAUCAGCUUGUUGGUGGGGUAGUGGCUCACCAAGGCUUUGACGGGUAGCCGGCCUGAGAGGGUGACCGGCCACAUUGGGACUGAGAUACGGCCCAGACUCCUACGGGAGGCAGCAGUGGGGAAUAUUGCACAAUGGGCGGAAGCCUGAUGCAGCAACGCCGCGUGCGGGAUGACGGCCUUCGGGUUGUAAACCGCUUUCGCCUGUGACGAGGCGUGAGUGACGGUAAUGGGUAAAGAAGCACCGGCUAACUACGUG